UACGUAGGCAGCAAGCGUUGUUCGGAAUUACUGGGCGUAAAGGGUGCGUAGGCGGCUUUUUAAGUUUGGUGUGAAAUCUCCCGGCUCAACUGGGAGGGUGCGCCGAAUACUGAGAAGCUAGAGUGUGGGAGAGGAAAGUGGAAUCCUGGUGUAGCGGUGAAAUGCGUAGAUAUCAGGAGGAACACCGGUGGUGUAAACGGCUUUCUGGACCAUAACUACGCUGAGGCACGAAAGCGUGGGUAGCAAACAGG
rnacentral:rRNA from 1 species